rnacentral:rRNA from 1 species
GACGAACGCUGGCGGCGUGCUUAACACAUGCAAGUCGAACGGAAAGGCCCUGCUUUUGUGUGGUGCUCGCGUGGCGAACGGGUGAGUAACACGUGAGUAACCUGCCCUUGACUUUGGGAUAACUUCAGGAAACUGGGGCUACUACCGGAUAGGAGCUCCUGCUGCAUGGUGGGGGUUGGAAAGUUUCGGCGGUUGGGGAUGGACUCGCGGCUUAUCAGCUUGUUGGUGGGGUAGUUGCUUACCAAGGCUUUGACGGGUAGCCGGCCUGAGAGGGUGAACGGCGACAUUGGGACUGAGAUACGGCCCAGACUGCUACGGGAGGCAGCAGUGGGGAACAUUGCACAAUGGGCGGAAGCCUGAUGAAGCAACGCCGCGUGCGGGAUGACGGUCUUCGGGUUGGAAACCGCUUUCGGCUGUGACGAAGCGUGAGUGACGGUAAUGGGUAAAGAAGCACCGGCUAACUACGUG